GCAAACUUGGUCAUUUAGAGGAAGUAAAAGUCGUAACAAGGUCUCCGUUGGUGAACCAGCGGAGGGAUCAUUAUCGAGUUACCACUCUAUAACCCUUUGUGAACAUACCUACAUGUUGCUUCGGCGGUCGGCCCCCCGGGCCCCCGGCCCCGCUCACGCGGGGCGUCCGCCGGAGGAUAACCAAACUCUGAUUUAACGACGUUUCUUCUGAGUGGCACAAGCAAAUAAUCAAAACUUUUAACAACGGAUCUCUUGGUUCUGGCAUCGAUGAAGAACGCAGC
rnacentral:misc_RNA from 1 species